rnacentral:misc_RNA from 1 species
GAUGAAGAACGCAGUGAAAUGCGAUAAGUAAUGUGAAUUGCAGAAUUCCGUGAAUCAUCGAAUCUUUGAACGCACAUUGCGCCCGCCAGUAUUCUGGCGGGCAUGCCUGUUCGAGCGUCAUUUCAACCCUCAAGCCCCCGGGCUUGGUGUUGGGGAUCGGCCGCCCUCCGGCGCGCCGGCCCCGAAAUCUAGUGGCGGUCUCGCUGUAGCCUCCUCUGCGUAGUAGCACACCUCGCACCGGAACGCAGCCUGGCCACGCCGUUAAACCCCCCACUUCUGAAGGUUGACCUCGGAUCAGGUAGGAAUACCCGCUGAACUUAAGCAUAUCAAUAAGCGGAGGA